GACGAACGCUGGCGGCGUGCUUAACACAUGCAAGUCGAACGGUAAGGCCCUUCGGGGUACACGAGUGGCGAACGGGUGAGUAACACGUGGGUGAUCUGCCCUGCACUUCGGGAUAAGCCUGGGAAACUGGGUCUAAUACCGGAUAGGACCCUGGGAUGCAUGUCCUGGGGUGGAAAGCUUUUGCGGUGUGGGAUGGGCCCGCGGCCUGUCAGCUUGUUGGUGGGGUGAUGGCCUACCAAGGCGACGACGGGUAGCCGGCCUGAGAGGGUGACCGGCCACACGGGGAUAGAGAUAAGGCCCCGGCUCCGACGGGAGGCAGCAGUGGGGAAUAUUGCACAAUGGGCGCAAGCCUGAUGCAGCGACGCCGCGUGAGGGAGGGCGGCCUUCGGGUUGUAACCCUCUUUCAGCACCGACGAAGCGCAAGUGACGGUAGGUGCAGAAGAAGGACCGGCCAACUACGUGCCAGCCGCCGCGGUAA
rnacentral:rRNA from 1 species